GAUCGUCUAGCUCAGUUGGUAGAGUGCAAGGCUUUUAAUCUUGACGUUGUGGGUUCGAGCCCAAUGGUGGGCG
rnacentral:tRNA from 1 species